AACGAACGCUGGCGGCAUGCCUAACACAUGCAAGUCGAACGAUGCCUUCGGGCAUAGUGGCGCACGGGUGCGUAACACGUGGGAAUCUGCCCUUCGGUUCGGAAUAACACAGAGAAAUUUGUGCUAAUACCGGAUAAUGACGUAAGUCCAAAGAUUUAUCGCCGAAGGAUGAGCCCGCGUAGGAUUAGCUUGUUGGUGGGGUAAUGGCCCACCAAGGCGACGAUCCUUAGCUGGUCUGAGAGGAUGAUCAGCCACACUGGGACUGAGACACGGCCCAGACUCCUACGGGAGGCAGCAGUGGGGAAUAUUGGACAAUGGGCGAAAGCCUGAUCCAGCAAUGCCGCGUGAGUGAUGAAGGCCUUAGGGUUGUAAAGCUCUUUUACCAGGGAUGAUAAUGACAGUACCUGGAGAAUAAGCUCCGGCUAAUUCCGUGCCAGCCGCCGCGGUAA
rnacentral:rRNA from 1 species